UACGUAGGGGGCAAGCGUUGUCCGGAAUCAUUGGGCGUAAAGCGCGUGUAGGCGGCCCGGUAAGUCCGCUGUGAAAGUCCAGGGCUCAACCCUGGGAUGCCGGUGGAUACUGUCGGGCUCGAGUCCGGAAGAGGCGAGUGGAAUUCCUGGUGUAGCGGUGAAAUGCGCAGAUAUCAGGAGGAACACCAAUGGCGAAGGCAGCUCGCUGGGACGUGACUGACGCUGAGACGCGAAAGCCAGGGGAGCAAACGGG
rnacentral:rRNA from 1 species